GCCUUCGUGGUGUAGUGAUCAGCACGCUCGACGUGUAUUCGAGAGGUCCGUGGUUCGAGUCCCGGCGAGGGCA
rnacentral:tRNA from 1 species